AGUGAACGCUGGCGGUAGGCCUAACACAUGCAAGUCGAACGGCAGCACAGGAUAGCUUGCUCUCUGGGUGGCGAGUGGCGGACGGGUGAGGAAUACGUCGGAAUCUACUCUGUCGUGGGGGAUAACGUAGGGAAACUUACGCUAAUACCGCAUACGACCUACGGGUGAAAGCAGGGGACCUUCGGGCCUUGCGCGAUUGAAUGAGCCGAUGUCGGAUUAGCUAGUUGGCGGGGUAAAGGCCCACCAAGGCGACGAUCCGUAGCUGGUCUGAGAGGAUGAUCAGCCACACUGGAACUGAGACACGGUCCAGACUCCUACGGGAGGCAGCAGUGGGGAAUAUUGGACAAUGGGCGCAAGCCUGAUCCAGCCAUACCGCGUGGGUGAAGAAGGCCUUCGGGUUGUAAAGCCCUUUUGUUGGGAAAGAAAUCCAGCUGGCUAAUACCCGGUUGGGAUGACGGUACCCAAAGAAUAAGCACCGGCUAACUUCGUGCCAGCCGCCGCGGUAA
rnacentral:rRNA from 1 species